UCCCGAGCGUNGUCCGGAUUUAUUGGGCGUAAAGGGAGCGCNGGCGGUCAGGAAAGUCUGGAGUAAAAGGCUAUGGCUCAACCAUAGUGUGCUCUGGAAACUNUCUGACUUGAGUGCAGAAGGGGAGAGUGGAAUUCCAUGUGUAGCGGUGAAAUGCGUAGAUAUAUGGAGGAACACCAGUGGCGAAAGCGGCUCUNUGGUCUGUCACUGACGCUGAGGCUCGAAAGCGUGGGUAGCGAACAGGAUUAGAUACCCUGGUAGUNCACGCCGUAAACGAUGAGUGCUAGGUGUUAGGCCCUUUCCGGGGCUUAGUGCCGGAGCUAACGCAAUAAGCACUCCGCCUGGGGAGUACGACCGCAAGGUUGAAACUCAAAGGAAUUGACGGGGGCCCGCACAAGCGGUGGAGCAUGUGGUUUGAUUCGAAGCAACGCGAAGAACCUUACCAGGUCUUGACAUCCCGAUGCUAUUCUUAGAGAUAGGAAGUUACUUCGGUACAUCGGAGACAGGUGGUGCAUGGUUGUCGUCAGCUCGUGUCGUGAGAUGUUGGGUUAAGUCCCGCAACGAGCGCAACCCUUAUUGUUAGUUGCCAUCAUUAAGUUGGGCACUCUAGCGAGACUGCCGGUAAUAAACCGGAGGAAGGUGGGGAUGACGUCAAAUCAUCAUGCCCCUUAUGACCUGGGCUACACACGUGCUACAAUGGUCGGUACAACGAGUUGCGAGCCGGUGACGGCAAGCUAAUCUCUGAAAGCCGAUCUCAGUUCGGAUUGGAGGCUGCAACUCGCCUCCAUGAAGUCGGAAUCGCUAGUAAUCGCGGAUCAGCACGCCGCGGUGAAUACGUUCCCGGGCCUUGUACACACCGCCCGUCACACCACGAGAGUUUGUAACACCCGAAGU
rnacentral:rRNA from 1 species